rnacentral:rRNA from 1 species
AUGGCUUACACAUGCAAGUCGAGGGGCAUCACGGGCAGCAAUGCCUGGUGGCGACCGGCGGACGGGUGAGUAACACGUAUGCAACCUGCCCAUAACAGGGGGAUAGCUCGUCGAAAGGCGGAUUAAUACUCCAUGAGGCAGGAGCUCCGCAUGGGGCACUUGGUUAAAGGUGAAUAAUGGUUAUGGAUGGGCAUGCGUUCCAUUAGCUGGUUGGUGACGGUAACGGCGCACCAAGGCGACGAUGGAUAGGGGUACUGAGAGGUAAGUCCCCCACACUGGUACUGAGACACGGACCAGACUCCUACGGGAGGCAGCAGUGAGGAAUAUUGGUCAAUGGUCGGAAGACUGAACCAGCCAAAUCGCGUGAAGGAAGAAUGUAUUAUGUAUUGUAAACUUCUUUUAUUCGGGAAUAAAGGGGCAUACGAGUAUGUUAUUGCAAGUACCGAAUGAAUAAGCAUCGGCUAACUCCGUGCCAGCAGCCGCGGUAAUACGGAGGAUGCGAGCGUUAUCCGGAUUUAUUGGGUUUAAAGGGUGCGUAGGCGGUAUUAUAAGUCAGUGGUGAAAACUUUCUGCUCAACGGGAAGCCUGCCAUUGAAACUGUGGUACUUGAGAGCGGACGAGGUAGGCGGAAUUAGUGGUGUAGCGGUGAAAUGCAUAGAUAUCACUAGGAACUCCGAUAGCGCAGGCAGCUUACCAGGGCGCGACUGACGCUGAAGCACGAAAGUAUGGUUAUCAAACAGGAUUAGAUACCCUGGUAGUCCAUACAGUAAACGAUGAUUACUCGCUGUUUGCGAUACAAUGUAAGCGGCUGAGCGAAAGCAAUAAGUAAUCCACCUGGGGAGUACGCCGGCAACGGUGAAACUCAAAGGAAUUGACGGGGGCCCGCACAAGCGGAGGAACAUGUGGUUUAAUUCGAUGAUACGCGAGGAACCUUACCCGGGCUCGAACGGCCGAUAGAUGCUGGAGAGAUUCAGCAGACCGCAAGGAUAUUGGUCGAGUGCUGCAUGGUGUCGU